GGAUUCUGAGGAUUCUGCUCCAAUUAAAAUGUUUCUCUCCGUAUGAUCAUUUGGUGGCAAGCAACCACAGCUCAUGGUGGCCACCAAUGGUCAUGGGUGGUGAAGGAGGAGUUUCUAGGGUGGUUUGGCGGAGUUUUGAGAGAGAAAGGUGUGAAAAUUGUGUUUUUCACCCUGAAGAACAUAUUUAUAAUCUGCUAAUCUCGCUUAGUGAGCUCGUCUCGCUAAGCGAGAAUCCACUUUUGACGUUAAGCGUGACUUUCGCGUUAAGCGCAAAUCCCUC
rnacentral:lncRNA from 1 species